rnacentral:rRNA from 1 species
CCUCUCGCGUCAGGAUAUGCCUAGGUGGGAUUAGCUAGUUGGUGAGGUAAGGGCUCACCAAGGCGACGAUCCCUAGCUGGUCUGAGAGGAUGAUCAGCCACACUGGAACUGAGACACGGUCCAGACUCCUACGGGAGGCAGCAGUGGGGAAUAUUGCACAAUGGGCGCAAGCCUGAUGCAGCCAUGCCGCGUGUGUGAAGAAGGCCUUCGGGUUGUAAAGCACUUUCAGUCGUGAGGAAGGUGGUGUAGUUAAUAGCUGCAUUAUUUGACGUUAGCGACAGAAGAAGCACCGGCUAACUCCGUGCCAGCAGCCGCGGUAAUACGGAGGGUGCGAGCGUUAAUCGGAAUUACUGGGCGUAAAGCGCAUGCAGGUGGUUUGUUAAGUCAGAUGUGAAAGCCCGGGGCUCAACCUCGGAAUAGCAUUUGAAACUGGCAGACUAGAGUACUGUAGAGGGGGGUAGAAUUUCAGGUGUAGCGGUGAAAUGCGUAGAGAUCUGAAGGAAUACCGGUGGCGAAGGCGGCCCCCUGGACAGAUACUGACACUCAGAUGCGAAAGCGUGGGGAGCAAACAGGAUUAGAUACCCUGGUAGUCCACGCCGUAAACGAUGUCUACUUGGAGGUUGUGGCCUUGAGCCGUGGCUUUCGGAGCUAACGCGUUAAGUAGACCGCCUGGGGAGUACGGUCGCAAGAUUAAAACUCAAAUGAAUUGACGGGGGCCCGCACAAGCGGUGGAGCAUGUGGUUUAAUUCGAUGCAACGCGAAGAACCUUACCUACUCUUGACAUCCAGAGAACUUUCCAGAGAUGGAUUGGUGCCUUCGGGAACUCUGAGACAGGUGCU